GUGACAUGGGCAUAAUUUUUUUUUGAAGAUGUUAAGUCGUGGCCACGACUUACUAAUGCGUGGCCACAACUUACUAAAGCGUGGCCACGAGAUACAUAAGUUGUGGCCACGACUUACUAAAGCGUGGCCACAAGAUACAUAAGUUGUGGCCACAACUUACUAAGGCGUGGCCACGCCUUAGUAAGUCGUGGCCACGCAUUAGUAAGUUGUGGCCACGAGUUAGAUAAGUUGUGGCCACAAGUUAUUUGUGAGGGAGCUCCUUUAUGGUGGUGUAGCAUACAUUCAAGGAAUAUAGACAUAGACUUGAUUUAAUUUUAUUUCAACCUUGGAAUGAACUAUAUUGACAUACUUUGCUUAUUACACAGAGUGGUAAUAAGCAAACCUCUCAUCUUACAGGCAUUGACCGUGUAACACGCAUUUCACUGACUUCACCUGCUCACGCCUAACAGAGCUCUAAACUCCACCUUCUGCGGAGCUGUUUAACACAGCUUGUGGCCAUCAAUAAUUAUUCCUGCUGCAGUUCAUGUUAACAGAGCAGCAGGAAGAGCGACCAGUUAUAAAUAAUUUUGGUCUUAACCAGUGGAGACAGUAAGCCGGUACCGUCCGCUACCGAACACACAAGAGGGAAGUAGAGCGGCUGCCAGAUAAAUCCUUCAUUCAGAACCAGUCAUGGCUGCACGCUGGAUCAGAAAACAGUUCUGCUAACCAGAUAAAGUCUAAAAAGCCUCUUAUUCUGUGUCAGGGUGCUGCAGGCGUACAUGGGCUGGGCGCAUGCCUUUUUUCCCCUCUCCCUUCUCCGCAGGUGGAGGCUGACAAGCAGGGAGGCGCCUCUCGCAGGUGAUCUGCGUUCAGUCAUCAGCAGGGACGGUUCUUAAACAGGCUGCUGUCAGCACCUCAUAGCCAAAGUGUCAGCCUUAAGUGGUGGAACCUGCCUCGGAUCCCGCUCAUGAGAACCCUUUUCCUCGGCUGAGCCGGCCAGCUCUCGGCCCGCUCAGCUGCUUAGGAAGAAAACCUCAGAAAGUCCCGAUCAUCCUCGCAAGUCUCGGCGUCUACAGAGCGCCGAUCAGCUGACAGCCUCCCUGCCGCCGCCCCCGCUGCACGAGUGACCGGACCCUGCCCCGCCCCCUCGGACGCUGCCAUCUGUCAGCUACCGCACCCUCUAUGAUCACCAGAAUCCACCUAGAACCGACGAUCCGCUUGGCAGCCUCCGCCCCUGGUCCAGGCACCAGCAGCUUUUCAGUCUUUGGUGCCCCCGCAGCAGCCGAUCACUCCCCCGGUGAAUCAAUUAUAAUACCGCGAUUACCACCUCCCGCUGUUACCAGACGUCCGGAGGACUCACAACAGGUCUUGAGCUUUAUAUUUAAUAAAACUCUUAAAAACUCGGA